rnacentral:rRNA from 1 species
AGCGAACGCUGGCGGCAGGCCUAACACAUGCAAGUCGAGCGAAUCACUGGGAGCUUGCUCCCGGUGGUUAGCGGCGGACGGGUGAGUAACACGUGGGCAACCUGCCUGUAAGACUGGGAUAACACCGGGAAACCGGUGCUAAUACCGGAUAAUCCAUUUCUGCUCAUGCAGGAAAGCUGAAUGUCGGUUUCGGCUGACACUUACAGAUGGGCCCGCGGCGCAUUAGCUAGUUGGUGAGGUAACGGCUCACCAAGGCGACGAUGCGUAGCCGACCUGAGAGGGUGAUCGGCCACACUGGGACUGAGACACGGCCCAGACUCCUACGGGAGGCAGCAGUAGGGAAUCUUCCGCAAUGGACGAAAGUCUGACGGAGCAACGCCGCGUGAGCGAUGAAGGUUUUCGGAUCGUAAAGCUCUGUUGUUAGGGAAGAACCGCCGGGAUGACCUCCCGGUCUGACGGUACCUAACGAGAAAGCCCCGGCUAACUACGUGCCAGCCGCCGCAGUAACAC